rnacentral:lncRNA from 1 species
CAAAAGCAUAGUUUUCACUGUUAGAUUUGGAGAGAUGUGGCUAGAUAGCAAUUUUCACUAUAAAAUAAUCUUGAACAGUCCAUUCAAAUGGAUAGAGCCUGUUGGUCUGUCCUGGUUAGUUGUACAUCCUCAGUCACUGCAUGAGUUCCCAGGAGGACCAAGAUGGUGGAGUCAAACAAGGAGUAAUAAAUGGAGAAAUUCGGGAUAUGACUGGAGGGCCAAGAUGGUGGGGUCACACCAGGAGUAAUAAAUGAAGAAAUUCGGGAUAUGACUGGGAGAUUGGGCCAACAGAAUUUACUAAUGGAGUGGAUGUGACAUUUGAGUAAAAGAAAAGAUCAAGGAUAACUCCAAGAUUUUUGACCUGAUCAAGCUGAAGUUUUUUCCUAAGAUGGCAAACACAGAGUGAGGAGCAAGUUUUGUGAGGGGAAGUGAAGGACUUGGUCGGGCCACUCUUAUAGUGUCCUAUUGCGCUGUGAAAAAACCCACCCAAACACUGAGUGACUUACAGCUGCAAUUUAUUAUCUUUCAUCUUUCUGUAAGUUGACUGGGCUUAGCUGGGUGAUUCUGUUUUUCGCUUGCAGUUACAGUGAGACAUCUGGGGCUCACUUAUAUAGCUCUCUGCUGGGAGCUGAGCAAGGACCAUCCAUGGCAGUGCCAACAUAUGUUGCUUGGCCUUCUUACAGAGGGGUGGCUGAGUUCCAAGAGGGAGUGUCCCAAGCGGUUGCAUUCCAAGAAAGUCAGGUGGAAGUUCCAAACAUUCCUAUGGCCUAGCCUAACAAGUGCACAAAGCGACUUCUGCUGUGUUUUAUUGGUCAAGCAAGUCACUAUGGCCAGACCCUAUUCAAAGGAACGAGAGAAAGGCUUCACCACCUGAUGCGAGAAGCAGGGAGGAAAAGAGCUGUUGACAACCAUCUUUGGACAACCUCUAUCACUGAUGUUGUAAAUUUGAAAUACGUCUUGAUAUUCAAGUCUGGAAAUCAAGGAGAGAUUGGGUCUGGGAACUGGGCAGGAACUUUUGUAAUUGUGGGACCAGCCCAAACUGAGCCUACUUCAUUGAUAACAAAGUGUCGAGUUACCUUAUAGGUAUAACAGAGCUAAAAACCUGCAAGUCAUAUAACCUGGGCAUGUGCUAUAGAAAAAGCUUUGACCUCUAACAACACCCAGAACCAACGAUCCCUCCUCUCAAGAACCAAGAGGACCGGCCCAUGACUGGAACAUGAACAAUGGAACGCUUUCAGAAGGAGGAGUCCAUUGGCCUGGAAGAUCUGGGGCCAAAGUCUGCCUCAACAUACCUUACCGUAAAUGACCAAAUUUGAAGUCCUCCAAUCAGACCAAACCAAUGUUCCCAAAUCCUUUCCCUUGCCCUUCAGGCCCAUAAAAUUACCCCAGACCCCAAAUCAAGGAGACAACUUUGAACCCAACCCCUGUCUUUUUGCUGGCAGGUUUUGCAAUAAAGC